rnacentral:rRNA from 1 species
UACGUAGGGGGCAAGCGUUAUCCGGAUUUACUGGGUGUAAAGGGAGCGUAGACGGCUGUGCAAGCCAGAUGUGAAAGCCCGGGGCUCAACCCCGGGACUGCAUUUGGAACUGUGUAGCUGGAGUGUCGGAGAGGCAGGCGGAAUUCCUAGUGUAGCGGAGAAAUGCGUAGAUAUUAGGAGGAACACCAGUGGCGAAGGCGGCCUGCUGGACGAUGACUGACGUUGAGGCUCGAAAGCGUGGGGAGCAAACAGG